UAAUACCAGCACCCCGAGUGGUCNGNACNAUUAUUGGGCCUAAAGNAUCCGUAGCCGGUACUGCAAGUCUUCCGUUAAAUCCNCCUGCUUAACAGUUGGGCUGCGGGGGAUACUNCANCGCUNGGANGCGGGAGAGGCAAGCGGUACUCNAUGGGUAGGGGUAAAAUCCGCUGAUCCNUUGAAGACCACCAGUGGCGAAGGCGGCUUGCCAGAACGCGCUCGACGGUGAGGGAUGAAAGCUGGGGGAGCAAACCGGAUUAGAUACCCGGGUAGUCCCAGCUGUAAACGAUGCANACUCGGUGAUGGGCUGGNCUUGUGCCAACCCAGUGCCGCANGGAAGCCGUUAAGUCUGCCGCCUGGGGAGUACGGUCGCNAGACUGAUCUUAAAGGAAUUGGCGGGGGAGCACCACAAGGGGUGAAGCCUGCNGUUUUAUUGGAGUCAACGNCANGANUCUUACCGGGGGGACAGCAGANUGAAGUCAAGCUUAAGACUUUCCCAGUCAAGNUGAGAGGAGGUGCAUGUCCGUNGCCAGCUCGUGCCGUGAGGUGUCCUGUAAGUCAGGUAACGAGCGNGAUCCCUACCUNUAGUUGCUACCAUUACUNUCAGGAGUAGUGGGGCUAAUUAGAGGNACCGCCGCCGNUGAGGCGGAGGAAGGAGGGGGCUACGGCAGGUCAGUAUGCCCCGAAACCCUCGGGCCACACGCGGGCUGCAAUGGUAAGGACAAUGGGUUUCGAUUCUGAAAAGAGGAGACAAUCCCCAAACCUUACCCCAGUUAUGAUUGAGGGCUGAAACUCGCCCUCAUGAAUAUGGAAUCCCUAGUANCCGCGUGUCAACAUCGCGCGGUGAANANGUCCCUGCUCCUUGCACACACCNCCNGUCGCUUCAUNGAAGUUGGUUCUNGNCGAGGUGGUNCNUCAUUGGCACUAUCGAACNUGGGGUCAGCAACGAGGGAG
rnacentral:rRNA from 1 species